GAUGAACGCUAGCUACAGGCUUAACACAUGCAAGUCGAGGGGCAGCAUGGUCUUAGCUUGCUAAGGCCGAUGGCGACCGGCGCACGGGUGAGUAACACGUAUCCAACCUGCCGUCUACUCUUGGACAGCCUUCUGAAAGGAAGAUUAAUACAAGAUGGCAUCAUGAGUCCGCAUGUUCACAUGAUUAAAGGUAUUCCGGUAGACGAUGGGGAUGCGUUCCAUUAGAUAGUAGGCGGGGUAACGGCCCACCUAGUCUUCGAUGGAUAGGGGUUCUGAGAGGAAGGUCCCCCACAUUGGAACUGAGACACGGUCCAAACUCCUACGGGAGGCAGCAGUGAGGAAUAUUGGUCAAUGGGCGAGAGCCUGAACCAGCCAAGUAGCGUGAAGGAUGACUGCCCUAUGGGUUGUAAACUUCUUUUAUAAAGGAAUAAAGUCGGGUAUGCAUACCCGUUUGCAUGUACUUUAUGAAUAAGGAUCGGCUAACUCCGUGCCAGCAGCCGCGGUAAUACGGAGGAUCCGAGCGUUAUCCGGAUUUAUUGGGUUUAAAGGGAGCGUAGGUGGAUGUUUAAGUCAGUUGUGAAAGUUUGCGGCUCAACCGUAAAAUUGCAGUUGAUACUGGAUAUCUUGAGUGCAGUUGAGGCAGGCGGAAUUCGUGGUGUAGCGGUGAAAUGCUUAGAUAUCACGAAGAACUCCGAUUGCGAAGGCAGCCUGCUAGGCUGCAACUGACAUUGAGGCUCGAAAGUGUGGGUAUCAAACAGGAUUAGAUACCCUGGUAGUCCACACGGUAAACGAUGAAUACUCGCUGUUUGCGAUAUACAGCAAGCGGCCAAGCGAAAGCGUUAAGUAUUCCACCUGGGGAGUACGCCGGCAACGGUGAAACUCAAAGGAAUUGACGGGGGCCCGCACAAGCGGAGGAACAUGUGGUUUAAUUCGAUGAUACGCGAGGAACCUUACCCGGGCUUAAAUUGCAGAUGAAUUACGGUGAAAGCCGUAAGCCGCAAGGCAUCUGUGAAGGUGCUGCAUGGUUGUCGUCAGCUCGUGCCGUGAGGUGUCGGCUUAAGUGCCAUAACGAGCGCAACCCUUGUUGUCAGUUACUAACAGGUUCCGCUGAGGACUCUGACAAGACUGCCAUCGUAAGAUGUGAGGAAGGUGGGGAUGACGUCAAAUCAGCACGGCCCUUACGUCCGGGGCUACACACGUGUUACAAUGGGGGGUACAGGGGGCCGCUACCACGCGAGUGGAUGCCAAUCCCCAAAACCUCUCUCAGUUCGGACUGGAGUCUGCAACCCGACUCCACGAAGCUGGAUUCGCUAGUAAUCGCGCAUCAGCCACGGCGCGGUGAAUACGUUCCCGGGCCU
rnacentral:rRNA from 1 species